GCGGGGGAGAGAGUGAAACUUUCACUAUGAAAGGAAGGGGGUAGGGGGGACCUCGACGCAGGAACGGCCGGAUGGGGCGGCGGCGCUUCACGCUUGUUGCCUUCCCCGUCGAGGGCGACGGCAUCGGGGGCGGAAAAGGGAGAGGAGGUUGCGGCGAAGCUUCUCGGAGAGCUGGGAUCGGGUGUACGGCGUCUUCAUUGUCGUCGGAGGGGAGGGGGCAUCGGCUUCGGGCUUGGGGGCGAGCCGGCGAGGAGAACGGAGAAGAAACCGAGAACGGCGAGAAGAAAGGAGGGCUAGAGGCGGAGGGGAUUAGGGAAUGUUCUGGAGAAACCGAGAAGAACGGAGAGUGGGAGUGGCCAGUGGGAGACUAGGGCAUCGUAUUCGGGCGUUUGGUUUCCUUUGGGCGUUUGAGGCUUUGAGCGUGGGACUGGGACCCAAUCAGUCAAUCACCCAAGUGGCNN
rnacentral:lncRNA from 1 species